UUUUAUUUUUUAUUUUUAUGAAAUUUUAAAUUAGAUAACAUCUGGUACUUGUAUCAGAAACAUUACCAACCAUAUCAUCUAUUUAGUUGCACUUGAAAUUCAUGUUUAAGACAGUAUUUUUAAAAACACUUGGCACAUCUCUAUUGGAAUCACCCUACACUAUUGGAAUUAUUGUUUCCACGUGAAGAGGAUGAAAUAAUAUCCCGUGCAAAACUUUUAGACAACUUAAAAACUGCAUUAAGGAUGCAACUCUUUGUGAUGAGGUUUUUAGAACAAAAUGGAUUGUCUGGAUUAUUGAACUUCUUACUCAGUAUGGAUUACAAUACAGCAGAAAGUCUUAUUCACACCUCACUAAUAGGGCGAGUGAAAGCACUCAUGAAUAAUUCCCUGAUGCAACAGAAGAAAAAGAUAUGAAACUCCUAAGAAUGAGUUUGUGAAAAUAUCUGAAGAAGAUGCUCUAUAUUCAAAAAAGUAAUAUUGAUUAAAAUUGCAUUGCUUGCAUAAUGACCGUAUUUUAUCAUUAUUCAUUUAAAUGAGAAAAUUUGUGAAUCAUAUUUUUAUUCAUGAAUUGAUCCUUUUAGUUUGUGGUUUCAUUGCUAUGUUAAUUUUUUCAGUCAAAAUUUUCAGUCUUGAAUUAGAUGGAUACUUAUUAUUUUGAAACUAAGAUUUUUCCUUUUCUAAUUGUUACAAUUGCUGUAAAUAUUUUGGGUUCUUCUUUAUUUAUUAAUAAGCAUGUUAUAGCUGAAUAAUUAAGGAAGAGUUGAGCCAGUCCCACUUUUACUUGAAGAAACUGUUGAUGUCAGAAUAAUCUAAGGCCUGAUCAGGUGCUAGCAAUUAAAAUAAACCCUUUUAUUUCACUUUCUAUUUUUUUCAGUCUUUGCUCGAAAAAGCCACCAAUACAAUGAAGUGAAAUGGUGGUAUUUUUCAGUAAACUUGUUUUGUUCUGAAAUUUAUUCCCUUGUGCCAUUUUUACUUGCAACUUUCUUUUUUCCUGUUUGGAAAUUGAACAUAGAAAAAAAAUUAAUUGUUGUGGAAUUGCAUUGAUUAUGUGAUUGAAUUUUUAAUUCUUACAUUUCUAAUAGGAUUAUUGGAAAGUUUUUAAAUUUAUUUGAAAUUGUUCCUUAAAGAAAUGUGCAUUUAUCUUAAGGCCUGGCUUUCAAAUAAAAUCCUAGAUUGGUGUUUGA
rnacentral:misc_RNA from 1 species